UGAGAUUGAACUCGGAAAGGGGCCUCUGUGAUUUUUUAGUAAAUGAGGAGCCAUGGUCUUGAAGUUGCAAUUUCAGGAACAUCGAAUGAUAAGGACAUGCCAGUACUGUUCACGCCAUACUCGACUUCUGAAAUUUGAUGAAGGCUCAACAAGAUAUUCAUGCAGCCCAUAUUAACUCAAAAGGCAUUGAGAAUGGUAUCAGUCGUCGAGUUAAUGGGCCACUUCAGUGGGAAAACGUUGGGCUUCUGAUCCCCUACUCCUUUGCAAAUCUGCCUCCAACAAUGCGUGUGCAAAAAUCCACUCAAACUUCAUGGAAGGUUGAUAGAAGAUGCCCUUAGAAACUGACUAUGGCAAACAGAAUUGCGAGGCAGCAAUACCAGAUGCUUGGAUACGGCGAAUCAAAGAUCAGCUCAUCAAGGCUUAUUUAUUUCUCCCUGCCAAAAGAAACAAUACCCACAUAUAUAGAAAGUUUGGCAAGAACUUGGGGAUAUAAGCAAAGAUCCUAAACAGCCAAUGAAUUUGAACCUAAUGGAGAAGCACAGUUUUAUAUUGGUGAAAAUUGUUGAGCAAGGAUGCACUUUAUAUAGCCACGUCUUACAUUCUGGUGCAAGAUAUAUUUGGUAAGCCUCAUUGGCUGCAAAGCUCGAUCAGUUAGAAUAACAAAGCUCCCUUCCUCUUUACCC